rnacentral:rRNA from 1 species
GACGAACGCUGGCGGCGUGCCUAAUACAUGCAAGACGAGCGAAUCUUGAGGUGCUUGCACCUCUUGGUUAGCGGCGGACGGGUGAGUAACACGUGGGCAACCUGCCUGUAAGACUGGGAUAACUUCGGGAAACGGGAGCUAAUACCGGAUAAUCCUUUUCCUCUCAUGAGGAAAAGCUGAAAGUCGGUUUUUCGCUGACACUUACAGAUGGGCCCGCGGCGCAUUAGCUAGUUGGUGAGGUAACGGCUCACCAAGGCGACGAUGCGUAGCCGACCUGAGAGGGUGAUCGGCAACACUGGGACUGAGACACGGCCAGACUCCUACGGGAGGCAGCAGUAGGGAAUCUUCCGCAAUGGACGAAGGUCUGACGGAGCAACGCCGCGUGAGCGAUGAAGGCCUUCGGGUCGUAAAGCUCUGUUGUUAGGGAAGAACAAGUAUCGGAGUAACUGCCGGUACCUUGACGGUACCUAACCAGAAAGCCACGGCUAACUACGUGCCAGCCGCCGCGGUAACAC